UUUCCGGUUGAUCCUGCCGGGACCUGACUGCUAUCGGAUUGAUACUAAGCCAUGCGAGUCAUUGUAGUAAUACAAGGCAGACGGCUCAGUAACGCGUAGUCAACCUACCCUAUGGACGGGAAUAACCUCGGGAAACUGAGUAUAAUGCCCGAUAGAACACUAUACCUGGAAUGGUUUGUGUUCCAAAUGAAUGUCGCCGUAGGAUGGGACUGCGGCCUAUCAGUUUGUUGGUGAGGUAAUGGCCCACCAAGACUAUUACAGGUACGGGCUCUGAGAGGAGUAGCCCGGAGAUGGGUACUGAGACACGGACCCAGGCCCUAUGGGGCGCAGCAGGCGAGAAAACUUUGCAAUGUGCGAAAGCACGACAAGGUUAAUCCGAGUGGUUUGUGCUAAACGAACCUUUUGACAGUCCUAGAAACACUGUUGAAUAAGGGGUGGGCAAGUUCUGGUGUCAGCCGCCGCGGUAAAACCAGCACCUCAAGUGGUCAGGAUGAUUAUUGGGCCUAAAGCAUCCGUAGCCGGCUCUGUAAGUUUUCGGUUAAAUCUGUACGCUCAACGUACAGGCUGCCGGGAAUACUGCAGAGCUAGGGAGUGGGAGAGGUAGACGGUACUCGGUAGGAAGGGGUAAAAUCCUUUGAUCUAUUGAUGACCACCUGUGGCGAAGGCGGUCUACCAGAACACGUCCGACGGUGAGGGAUGAAAGCUGGGGGAGCAAACCGGAUUAGAUACCCGGGUAGUCCCAGCUGUAAACUAUGCAAACUCAGUGAUGCAUUGGCUUGUGGCCAAUGCAGUGCUGCAGGGAAGCCGUUAAGUUUGCCGCCUGGGAAGUACGUACGCAAGUAUGAAACUUAAAGGAAUUGGCGGGGGAGCACCACAAGGGGUGAAGCCUGCGUUCAAUUGGAUUCAACGCCGGG
rnacentral:rRNA from 1 species